rnacentral:rRNA from 1 species
AUUGAACGCUGGCGGCAGGCCUAACACAUGCAAGUCGAGCGGAGCGGCGGACGGGCGAGUAAUUCCUAGGAGUCUGUCUGGCCGUUGGGGAUAACGUCCGGAAACGGGCGGUAAUACAUCAUACUAUCAGUCGAGCCUACGUCGGAUUAGCUAGUUGGUGGGGUAAAGGCCUACAAAGGUGAAGAUCCGUAACUGGUCUGAGAGGAUGAUCAGUCACAAUGGAACUGAGACACGGUCCAGACUCCUACGGGAGGCAGCAGUGGGGAAUAUUGUACAAUGGGCGAAAGCCUGAUCCAGCCAUGCCGCGUGUGUGAAGAAGGGCUUCGGAUUGUAAAGCACUUUAAGUUGGGAGGCGUUACCAACAGAAUAAGCACCGGCUAACUUCGUGCCAGCAGCCGCGGUAAUUC